UGACUAUAUUCAUGGCUCUGUAACUGGGAUUUCAAAGCAAGCGCCUGAACAUUGUGACUGCAGAAAGUGAGCCUUUCUUGUAGCUAUGAAGGCAAUACUUGUCUUUCUACUCCUUAUUCUGCCAUAUGGCUGUAACUCCGUUUUGCCUGGGUGUAAUCCUGUUCACUCCAUAAUAAACAUAGGAUUGUCCAAUUCAGAUGCUCAUCUUAAGAAAGAACUGUCAAAAUAUACAAAUGACACUGAUGCUUUAAAUGCUGCAAUGAAAAUGAAGCAGUGUGCUGAGAAGUUAACUUUCAUUCAAAAACUGGCCUUCAUUUCCGUGCUGGAUACUAUAAUGAAGAUCUGCUGAUCAUUCCAAGAGUGUGAGGUUUUCAAAGAAAUUCCACCAAUGUUACAGGUCGAGAGCAACUGCCAAAUAACAUUAAUUGAAUGAUACAGUGCAACUUUGUGCUUUCACUGGUAGAAAAGUCCAGUCUUAUANGAAUACGUUGCUACAUUCUGAAUUGCUGAAAACUACUUCUUUCAUUAAAC
rnacentral:lncRNA from 1 species